CGAGCCAAGGCAAACGCCGACAGAAGAGAACGAUAAAUCCGCGGCGCACUCGGCAGAACGUACACCGCACCGCAUAAUUUAGCGGGGCAAUGCCGCCGGGAGUCCACGCCAAGUUAAUGGAAUAUUUCCUUAGGUUGGUGUAUGUCAUCCCAUUUUGCAGAGGAGAAAUUGAUGAAAGCUACCUGGCUAGUCACUGCAGAGGCUUGGCUGGGAUGCUAAGACCCACUGCCUUGGUUACCAGGCUGCAGCCUGCAGGUUGCCCAUCCAAUGUGCGAACUCCAGCGGGGGCAGGAAAGCCCCCGAAGAAUGGUGCUGUUUGCUUUCUGGUCUUAAUAAAUCUCAUGCUGGGAGAAUCCUGUUUUAGUGAUUAGCAUCAGUAUAUCCAGUCCUCGGAAACAAAAAUAUUUCCAGGUCCCAGAAGAGGGUCCAGAGUAACACAGCUUUACUGAUCUGGUUUCAAUAAAUCUUGUUAAC
ensembl:lncRNA FRMD4A-AS1 FRMD4A antisense RNA 1